rnacentral:ribozyme from 14 species
UUGAAGAAGAAGGAAAACAAUGGUGAUUGCUGGAAGUUUUUUUUUUUGUUUUGUUAAAUAUGUUUAAGCAACCAUGAAAAAUAAAAAA